rnacentral:lncRNA from 1 species
CCAUGACUAAAAACUAUAUUAAAUCAAUGAUUUAUGGCAUCUUCUGAUAACUAUUCUCUGGUCAGAUUGUGUGCCAGGAACCAUGUUAAAGUGCAAGGGACCUUUAGGAGUUCCACUGAUCCCUGAACCAUCAAAGGGAAUAUAGACCUGCCCAAGGACAUCCAGUGGUUGUUCUUGUCCUUUUGAGGAUUGAAGUAAACCUCCAUCUCUCCCUGCCCUUUUCCCUUGAGGAUGAAUGUGCAGCAAGCUGUUGAUAGCAAUGUCACUUGCCAUGAGCCUCCUUAUACUGUCUAGCUAGCCUCUUCCUGAGCUUUGAUGAUUUCUGGCCAAAUAUAUGAUGAUGGACUAUUUACCUCACUCUGGAGUUUGAGACUCUUGUCCAGAUUCUGCCCCCUUGGGCAGUUCAGGAACCAAUCAACCACUUGGCCGUGGCAACCCAGAAAGCAUCGUCAAUUGCUUUGGAAUAGGUUGAUUGCACCCAGAAAGUGCCCUUUCCGCUGUCCCCAUCAAGUGUGUUUGCAGUUCCAUUUUCCUCUUUGAGUCAGCUCUUCUGUUACUGGGCUCAUGUUUCUUUCUUUUUUUCUUUCUUUUUUUUUUAAUUUUCCAAAUUAUAAACCUUUUUUUCUAUUUGAAGCGUUCCAAAAACAAAAGCACCUGCUCAUUUUUUAAAUCUACCCCUUAAGUAAUGGUAACAUAAUAUGUAUUUUUUAAAAUAUUUUUAAAUUAAAAUUUUUUUUAUUUUUUAAUUUACAUCCAAGUUAGUUAGCAUAUAAUGCUAUAAUGAUUUCAGGAGUAGAUUCCAGUGAUUCAUACCCUAUGUAUAACAGCUAGUGCUCAUCCUGACAAGGCCCCUUGUGCAUUUAGCCCAUCCUCCCUCUCACAACCCCUCCAGCAACCUUCAGUUUGUUCUCUGUGUUUAAGAGUCUCUUAUGUUUUGUCCCCCUCCUUGUUUUUAUAUUGUUUUUGCUUCCCUUCCCUUGUGUUCAUCUGUUUUGUAUCUUAAUUUCUUCAUAUGACUGAAGUCAUAUGAUAUUUGUCUUUCUGUGACUAAUUUUGCUUAGCAUGAUACCGUCUAGUUCUAUCCACAUAGUUGCAAAUGGCAAGAUUUCAUUCUUUUUGAUUGCUGAGUAAUACUCCAUUCUAUAUAUACCACAUCUUCUUUAUCCAUUCAUCCGUCGAUGGACAUUUGGGCUCUUUCCAUAUUUUGGCUAUUUUCAAUAGUGCUGCUAUAAACAUUGGGGUGCAUGUGCCCCUUUGAAAGAGGGCUCGUGUUUCUUGAUGGGGUCUGUGUUUUCCGAGGCCUUCAGAAGUGGCUCUUUCUAUCCAGUUUGGGUGCUAGGCUGAGAACCCACCCUUGUGUUCUGUGCUUUGUGUCUUUGGCAGGUCAGAGCCUCCUUGGUCUUGUCUCCCCCAUGCUUGUGUCUACAACAAAUGUGAGGAGAAGCAUACCAAUGAAUCACCACACUGUAGGGUGCCCAUGCCCACUGCUUUGGCAGCCCCAGUCAACAGAUUCUGUAGCGCAGUCUUUGUCAGCAGCACUGCUACUGAAGGCAGCCAACAAGUACCACUAAUAUGCGCAUGUGACCUGAAAAUUACAAUGUAAAUGGCAAGGCAACACAUGUAUAGGAAGGCAAAUUUUAAUUAAAAGUGUGUUCUCUGACUCA